CUUCAAAAAAUUGCCCUCCCCUCCAAUCCAUAUUCCCACCGACACUGCUCCCAUCCCUACCAGUUCCUAAGGGUGCCACGCAGUUGGCUGGGAAAGAAGUGAGGAGAGGUCUCCUCUGGGAGGGGGAAGCUAAGAGUGGCGUUUCUAAGGGAUUUAACCUCCUACCCUCGGCUACAUGACGCCACCCCUCCCUCCAAAGACUGGAACUGCGCCUCCAUUUUUGUUUUGGGGCAGAAGCAGGGGCUCCCGGGCCCGGACCGUCAUCCCAGCAACAGCCUCAGUCAUGUGACCGGCAAUGGCGGCGCUGACGAGAGGAUCUCCCUCUGCACUGGGGGGGAAAGAGGAAUUAGCCUGAUGAAGUUCCUUGAGCAACUUGGAGAGGAUUCUGCAGGGGAGGAGAGGAACUAGAAGAGCAUUUUCUGUCUGGGCUGGCUGAGGAAAUGCUAUCAUAACUCUUUACCUUCCUCCUCCCCAGCUCUGGCCAGCUGAAGGUGGAGGUGGAGGGACUUCUACUAUCUUCGUCUCCGUGGUCUUUUCAGGUACCCGUGCCUCAGGAGAACCUCAGCUUUCGGGUACCUCCCGUGUUCCAAGAAAUCCCCAUUGUCCAGUACCCCACGCCAGGUUCCUGGCUGUUUCAAGGGCUCCUGAGUUGGGGCCUUUGGGGGUUGGGGAAUAGUUUUCUUUCCUCCUCCUCCUCCUUCUUC